AGGGAUGUAGUUGAUAAAACAUUUAAUUUGCACUUAAAAAAAGCUAAUGCCUACCCUA
rnacentral:tRNA from 1 species